rnacentral:lncRNA from 1 species
GAACCCUGAGCACCCUGAGCUGCCCGGAUGGGGCAGGCUGCGGCCGCCGCCAUGAUCCCAGGCCUGGCCCUGCUCUGGGCAGCAGUGCUGGGGGGUGCUGCCCCCAGCCCUCCCCGCCUUCGGCUCUCCUUCCAAGGUAGGUGCACCUGGCAGGCAAGAGGGCUUGGCUCAGGGUGAGCAGGAGAGAGACCCAGUGUGAGUAGGGGGCACUAAGUUUGCUGCUGCCCUGUGCCACUGGCCCAGGUUUGAGUGGGGGCACUUUCAGGCCACCUCCAGUUAACCCUGUCCUGGCCUCAGCCCCCAGCCUUUCUGCACACAUUCUCCUCUGACUUUCCCAGGAAGACCCCUUCUGUUCCCGUGGCAACAGAUCCUGCCUGUGUCCCAUCCACCACCCCCACACCCCUGACACAGAAGGGUGGUCACCAGGCAUCGCACUGAGCUUAGGCUAGUAGCAGGGUGGCAGAGAAUCCUCAGCCUGACUUUGGGGUGGGGGUCCUGGCUUUCCCUACAUACGCAGCCUCCCCCAACACCCGGCCUCCCAGUGCGCCCGCCUGCAGACACUGCUUGUCCAGGCAUGCCUGAGGAGUUCAACCUGCUUUUCCCUUGGGGGGGGGGGGGGAACGGUGCUGCAUUGCCCACUCUGGAAGCUUUUCACAUGGGUGGAUCUGUCUUCACGAAUGUAAACUCACACAUGGGUAAACUCACAUGUGUGGGCCAGGUCACAUAUACAACCAUCACCUGUGAGAGAGACGAUAGGUAGGGUCUGGGGAAAGCUCCCAGCAUGGCUGGCAAACACUACCCUGCAGAGCUCCAGGCCCAGCACGGUCUCCGGACCUUCAGGCUGGAGAGGACCUGCUGCUAUGAAGCUCUGCUGGUGGACGAGGAGAGAGGACGCCUGUUUGUGGGUGCCGAGAACCGCGUGGCCUCCCUCAGCCUGGACGACAUCAGCAAGCGGGCCAAGAAGGUGCCAGGGACCCCCAGCCUCUGUGCUCCCCAGGGGGGUGGGCCCCUGAGCAGACACCCUCUUCACAGAGACCAGGCAAAGGCCCUUGACCUGUGUCCCCCUUCCCUGACCCCCUCGCAGCUGGCCUGGCCGGCCCCUGUGGAAUGGCGAGAGGAGUGCAACUGGGCAGGGAAGGACAUUGGUGUGAGUGCCGGCCGCCCGGGGCGGGAAUGGGGAGGCCCGGCCCCUUGCUCCACAGACAGCAGAAGCCUGCCUCUUCUGUCUGGGAUGGGGGCAGGGGGUCGAGGUGGCUGAAGUUUAGAGGUAGUGAGUCAGGGUGGAGGCUCAUGUGAUUCUUCUUGGGGGCGUCUGAGUCAUAGGGGGCUGUACAGGCCUAUGCUUCUCCAUGCACCCCUUCUGUGAGAGGUGGGCUGAGCUGGUCACCAAGGGUGUCCGGGCUCCUGAAGCCCAUGUUGCUACUUGCCUGGACUGAUGCAGAAGAGAGGAAGGGGUGAGGUACCACUGGCGAGCUGGGACCCCUUAACGCUGCCUCCCUGGGGGAGGCCUCAUCGUCCCUGCCCCUGCCCGCCCACUAGACCGAGUGCAUGAACUUCGUGAAGUUGCUGCAUGCCUACAACCGCACCCACUUGCUGGCCUGUGGCACAGGGGCCUUCCACCCAACCUGUGCAUUUGUGGAGGUGGGCCACCGGCUGGAGGUAAGGCCAGAUCUAGGCAGAGAGGGAGGUUGGGAGGUAAAGAAGGGCCUGGAAGUAACAACUGCCCCCGGCCUCCCAGGAGCCCACGCUCCGGCUAGACCUUCGAAGGCUGGAGGAUGGCAAGGGCAAGAGUCCUUAUGACCCCAGGCAUCGGGCUGCCUCCGUGCUGGUGGGUGAGUCCAAUGGCUAGGGCCCUGCAGAGACUCUAGACCCUCCUGAGAGCCCCUGAGAGCCCCCAGGGCAUCACUGACUCCUUAAGAGCUCUUGGAACUCUACAAGGACUCCCCACAGAGAGCCUUCAGAUUGGCUAAGCAGCUCUUGCCCUAUCUGCAGGGAAAGAACUGUACUCAGGGGUGGCCGCAGACCUCAUGGGCCGGGACUUCACCAUCUUCCGCAGCCUGGGCCAGCGUCCAAGUCUGCGAACAGAACCACACGAUUCUCGCUGGCUCAACGGUGAAAGGCUGGUGGAGCUAUUGGGAGGGGGCUCUCAUCCCCAACAGGGUGGGUGCCUAGUAAGACCCAUAAAGGAAGUGAGCAGUGGGUGCAGCCAGGUCUCGCCAAGUACCCACCACGCAUCAAGCCCUGUGCUAGGGCCUGGGGCUGCAGGGCAGACAAGACCUGUGUGGCCCAUGCCCUCGUUGAGGUCACAGACCUCAGAACAGGUACAUAAUAAGAUGGUUCCAAUGGCAAUGAGACCAGUGAGUGAACAGACAGAAAGGGAAAAGGAGACCAGGUGGUAAGAGAACUGGAGACAGGAAGCCACUCUGCUGAGGACAGGGGAGAGCUAAUUCCCAAAGCACAGCAGGAUUGAGGGAAGAGCAUUCCAGGUAAAGAGAACAGCUAGUGCAAAGGCUCCAGGGCAGGAACAAGCCAAGGAACAGACUCAUGAAAAGAGAAAGGAUAAGGGGUCUGCAUUGUCAGAGGUCAGGGUCAUUUGUUCUAAGAGUGAGGGGACCCAGCAGAGUAUUCACAGCAGUAACAGGGGGAAUCUGCUUCCUGCUCAAGAGGAAGAUUCAUGAGUGAAGGUAAAACCCCAAUAUCCCAUCUCCCUCCUUUCUGGACCAAGGGCCUGGGGAACUGUCAGGGGCCGAGGGGAGAGGCCUGUGUGUCUAGGUAGUCUUGGUCUCUGCUGCCCUCUUGUGGUUACUUCUUGACUCACAGGCCCUGAUCCUCUGGAUGUUGUCCCCUUAGAGUGCCAUCCUACCUGGAGACCGGGUGGUCAGAUGCUGCCCCAUGGGCUUCUGGGGGCACCAGAGAAAGGAGAGGGAGCAUGUGGGUCUCAUGAGUGGCAGGGCCAGGACCUUUCUGACCCCACUCCUCCUGCUGCUAGAGCCCAAGUUCGUCAAGGUCUUUUGGAUCCCAGAGAGCGAGAAUCCUGAUGAUGACAAGAUCUACUUCUUCUUCCGUGAGUCGGCAGUGGAGGCUUCGCCAUCACUGGGACGCCAGACUGUGUCCCGGGUUGGCCAGAUCUGUCGGGUGAGGAGUCCUUGGGCCACAUCCGAUGACUACAUCCCUGCCCUUUUGCCUGUCUGGGCCUCCCCCUCAUCCCUGCUGAUUGACCCUGCAGAAUGACGUGGGAGGCCAGCGAAGCCUUGUCAACAAGUGGACCACGUUCCUGAAGGCGCGUCUGGUGUGCUCAGUGCCAGGUGUCGAGGGUGACACACACUUCGACCACCUCCGUGAGUGCCAGGAGCAGAGGAUGGGGUUGGAGAGAGGGAGUGCAGGGGGCCAGACCCAGGAGCCGGGCUGCCCAGAGGGCUGUGUGCCCUCCCCCAACUAGGCUUCUUCCCCACAGAGGACAUGUUCCUGCUGUCCUUGAGGGACCGCUGGAGCCCACUGCUCUACGCUGUCUUCUCCACAUCAAGGUGAGGGGCAGAAGGUAGAGGGCAGGGCCCAAAGGGCUCUUCUGGGCCCCUCAGUCUGCUCAUGUCUUCGCCUGCAGCACCAUCUUCCAGGGCUCUGCAGUGUGUGUGUACAGCAUGAACGACGUGCGCCGGGCCUUCCUGGGGCCCUUUGCACACAAGGAAGGGCCCAUGCACCAGUGGGUGUCCUACCAGGGCCGUGUCCCCUACCCCCGGCCUGGCAUGGUGCGUAGCCCCAGGAGUCCCACCACAACCCACUUAAAGUCUCAGGGGUGGAAAACUUGGCCUGGGAUCUUCUUGGUGAAUGUGUUUUUUUCCUUCCGUUAUGGGUGGGAAAACAUCACCUUUGUCAGACAGGGCUCCUCAGAGGAAGGGCAUAUUUCCCCCUAAGAGUCCCAAGGGCAAGUCUGGGUCUUCUCUCUUCAGAUUCUCAGGGCAGACCUCUGUCCAUUAGCACUCCUCUAUACUCGGGUACCUGGAGGUCUCUUGUGGACCCACCAGGCCCUCGUACCCACAUCCCUGUCGUGCCUCCUCCCCACCUGCCCAGUGUCCCAGCAAGACCUUUGGCACCUUCAGUUCUACCAAGGACUUUCCUGAUGACGUCAUUCAAUUUGCCCGGAACCACCCCCUCAUGUACAAUUCGGUCCUGCCCAUGGGUGGUCGCCCUCUCUUCAUACAAGUGGAUGCCGGGUACACCUUCACCCAGAUCACUGCAGACCGUGUAGCAGCUGCUGACGGACACUACGACGUCCUCUUCAUUGGCACAGGUCAGUGUCCUGCCAUGACUACCCAUAAAACUCUGUCCAGACUCUCUUCCACCUGUCAGCAGAAGCUGCCCCUGCCCAGUCCCAUCUUCACAUCUUUGCCUGGGUUGUGCUCUCAUCUCCUUCUGGAUGCUGGUCUGAUUGUUCCAACCCACAUUCUUCACCUAUCCAACCAUGCUAAGGGUAAAGGCCUCAGAAGUGAGGAGAUCCCCAGCCCUAGCUGCCAGGAAACACAAGGAAUCACUCAUUCCUCAUCCCUGCAGACGCUGGCACAGUGCUGAAGGUGAUCUCCGUCCCCAAGGGCAGCCAGCCUAACGGGGAGGGGCUGCUCUUGGAGGAGCUGCACGUUUUUGAGGUGAGGCCUAGCCCCCUCCUCCUAGAGGAACCCUACCCCAUUGAUCUCUGAUCCCAGCGCUCGCUCCUCCUCCUCCUCCUCUCAGGAUUCAUCUGCUAUCACCAGCAUGCAAAUCUCUUCCAAGAGGGUAAGUGACCAAAAGGCUUGGGAGCAGAAGGGACCCAGUGUGUUCCCCGGGCACCCCUACCCCCACACCUCCCUUGGUAGUUUGAAGCACUGGGUUUGAGUAUAGGUUCUGCCUUUGCUAGACUGCGUGACCUGAGACCCUGAUCAGUGUCAAGUGGGGUGAGGGAUCCCUGACCAAUGGGAGGCGGGCACAGGGCUGCCUUCGGUCAGCCCGGAGCCCCUCGUGCCCCCUAGCACCAGCUGUACAUAGCUUCGCGGAGCGCGGUCGCCCAGAUCCCGUUGCACCUCUGUGCUGCCCACGGCCGCGCCUGUGCGGAAUGCUGCCUUGCGCGCGACCCUUACUGCGCCUGGGACGGGGCCGCGUGCACGCGCUUUCAGCCCAGCGCUAAAAGGUGGGCAGGGUUGGGGGCGGGCCACCUGGAAUCAUUUGCAGCACCUGGCUAAAUGAAGAAGGACUCACCGAGGCUCUAAUGUACCAAUGCAACCCCCACCCUGCAGGCGGUUCCGGCGGCAAGACGUGAGGAAUGGCGACCCCAGCACGCUGUGCUCCGGCGGUGAGUGCCCCCAGCUGCCCCACUUCUGGGCCUUUGAAGACGCCCCACCCUGCCCUGCCUGAAUCUGACAUUCCUUUGCCCUCCCCAGAUUCCUCUCAUCCCGCACUGCUGGAGCGGAAGGUGUUCGGUGUGGAGGGCGGAAGCGCCUUCCUGGAGUGUGAGCCCCGCUCGCUGCAGGCGCGCGUGGAAUGGACCUUCCAGCGCGCAGGGGAGGCGACCCACACCCAGGUGAGCCUCACGCCCUCCCUUCCCAAACAAGCCCUUGUCCCGCCCCCUACAUCCAGGAGAGCCCCGCCUUGCCAGUGUGGUUCCCACUUCUAGACUAGGUCCGACCCCGCCCAGUGAGACUCUGUCCAGCUAGACCCCUUACGUCCAGUUUGGUCCCUUACCUGAACUCCACGUUCUGGUGAGGCCCCAUUCCAUCUAACUAGACUCCUGACACCCCCCUCCCCCAUCCGAGAGGAGCCCCGCCCAUUGAGGCCCCCGCCCCGCCCCCAUGUUCAGGUAACCCCUCCCCCCCCCCACCUCCAGUCCAGUCCCGUCCGGUCUCGUCCGGUCCGGUAAGAGUUUCCGCUUUUAGACCACUGGUCCCAGUGCACCCAACCUUCAAAGGUACACCUGCGAGAGUCCCUUACCUGCUCAUGCUUGGCCACCGUUGACCCUCUACCUCUCCUGGCCCGACCUGGGAGCCGGGUUUCCUUGUUCCUGACACCGAUGCCUUUGCCUCCCACUGGCCCCGCCUGCAGGUAGCUAUGGAGGAGCGCGCGGAGCGCCUUACGGGGGGACUGCUGCUGCGCGGACUGAGGCGCGGGGAUUCUGGCGUGUACCUGUGCGCAGCUGUGGAGCAGGGCUUUUCGCAGUCGCUGCGUCGCCUGGUGCUACACGUGCUGAGUGCUGCGCAGGCCGAAAGGCUGGCCCGGACCGAGGAGGCUGUGCCCGUAGCCCCUCCAGGCCCCAGGCUCUGGUACCGGGACUUCCUGCAGCUGGUGGAGCCGGGCGGCGGUGGCGCGAGUUCCCUGCGAAUGUGUCGUCUGCAGCCUGAGUCGCGCCCACCGCCUCCCGAGUCACGGAGGAAGGGCCGAAACCGGCGAAGGCACGCCCCAGAGCCGCGUGCUGAGCGGGGGCCGCGCAGCGCAGCGCACUGGUGA